rnacentral:rRNA from 1 species
CCUACGGGUGGCAGCAGUGAGGAAUAUUGCACAAUGGGGGAAACCCUGAUGCAGCGACGCCGCGUGAGUGAAGAAGUAAUUCGUUACGUAAAGCUCUAUCAGCAGGGAAGAAAAUGACGGUACCUGAGUAAGAAGCCCCGGCUAACUACGUGCCAGCAGCCGCGGUAAUACGUAGGGGGCAAGCGUUAUCCGGAUUUACUGGGUGUAAAGGGAGCGUAGACGGUGCGCCAAGUCUGGAGUGAAAUGCCGCAGCUUAACUGCCGAACGGCUUUGGAAACUGGCGAACUGGGGUGCGGGAGGGGUAAGCGGAAUUCCUGUUGUAGCGGUGAAAUGCUUAGAUAUUAGGAGGACCACCGGUGGCGAAGGCGGCUACUGGACCGUAACUGACGUUGAGGCUCGAAAGCGUGGGGAGCAAACAGGAUUAGAUACCCCAGUAGUC